rnacentral:rRNA from 1 species
UCAGAACGAACGCUGGCGGCGUGGAUUAGGCAUGCAAGUCGAACGAGAAAAGUUCCUUCGGGAACUGAGUAGAGUGGCAAACGGGUGAGUAACGCGUGGGAAACCUGCCCUUUGGUUGGGGAUAACACUCCUAACGGAGUGCUAAUACCGGAUAAGAUCAUUUCAUCACAUGAUGAAUUGAUGAAAGGCGGCCUCUAUUUAUAAGCUGUCGCCGAAGGAUGGUCCCGCGUCCCAUUAGCUUGUUGGUGAGGUAACGGCUCACCAAGGCAUCGAUGGGUAGCCGGCCUUAGCGGGUGAUCGGCCACACUGGGACUGAGAUACGGCCCAGACUCCUACGGGAGGCAGCAGUCGAGAGGCUUCCACAAUGGGGGAAACCCUGAUGGAGCGACGCCGCGUGGGUGAUGAAGGUUUUCGGAUCGUAAAGCCCUUUCAGCAGGGACGAUGGUUUCAUUUGAUAAUACCUUAUGAAUCUGGACGGUACCUGCAUAAGAAGCUCCGGCUAACUCCGUGCCAGCAGCCGCGGUAAGACGGGGGGAGCAAGCGUUGUUCGGAUUUACUGGGCGUAAAGGGCGUCUAGGCGGGCUUGUAAGUCAGGU